UACGGAGGGGACUAGCGUUGUUCGGAAUCAUUGGGCGUAAAGGGCGCGUAGGCGGCCGACCAAGUCGGGUGUGAAAUCCCUCGGCUCAACCGAGGAACUGCACUCGAUACUGGUUGGCUAGAGUCCGGGAGGGGAUGGUGGAAUUCCCAGUGUAGCGGUGAAAUGCGUAGAUAUCAGGAAGAACACCUAUGGCGAAGGCAGCACUCUGGGACGGUACUGACGCUGAGACGCGAAAGCGUGGGGAGCGAACAGG
rnacentral:rRNA from 1 species